rnacentral:tRNA from 1 species
AUAUAAAUAAACUAAUAUAAGUUAUUAGAUUCAUAAUCUAAAGAUAGAAUUAAAUUUCUUUUAUAUA